GACGAACGCUGGCGGCGUGCCUAAUACAUGCAAGUCGAACGCACUCUCGUUUAGAUUGACGGAGUUUGCUCCUGAUUGAUAAACAUUUGAGUGAGUGGCGGACGGGUGAGUAACACGUGGGUAACCUGCCCUAAAGUGGGGGAUAACAUUUGGAAACAGAUGCUAAUACCGCAUAAAACCUAACACCGCAUGGUGUAGGGUUGAAAGAUGGUUUCGGCUAUCACUUUAGGAUGGACCCGCGGUGCAUUAGUUAGUUGGUGAGGUAAAGGCUCACCAAGACCGUGAUGCAUAGCCGACCUGAGAGGGUAAUCGGCCACACUGGGACUGAGACACGGCCCAGACUCCUACGGGAGGCAGCAGUAGGGAAUCUUCCACAAAGGACGAAAGUCUGAUGGAGCAACGCCGCGUGAGUGAAGAAGGUUUUCGGAUCGUAAAACUCUGUUGUUGGAGAAGAAUGUAUCUGAUAGUAACUGAUCAGGUAGUGACGGUAUCCAACCAGAAAGCCACGGCUAACUACGUG
rnacentral:rRNA from 1 species